AUUACUUUGGCAGAUUAGUGCAUUAAAUUUAGAAUUUAAAAUUAUAUAUAUAAUUAUAUAGGUAAUA
rnacentral:tRNA from 1 species